rnacentral:rRNA from 1 species
UACGUAGGGGGCAAGCGUUGUCCGGAAUCAUUGGGCGUAAAGCGCGUGUAGGCGGCCCGGUAAGUCCGCUGUGAAAGUCGGGGGCUCAACCCUCGAAUGCCGGUGGAUACUGUCGGGCUAGAGUGCGGGAGAGGCGAGUGGAAUUCCUGGUGUAGCGGUGAAAUGCGCAGAUAUCAGGAGGAACACCUAUUGCGAAGGCAGCUCUCUGGGACGGUACUGACGCUGAGACGCGAAAGCGUGGGGAGCGAACAGG